GCCAAACUCCUGUUUUUGUAUAUCCAAGAAUGUGUGGAAUGCAGGAUUGUUGCCACCAAAAUUUAUUGACACACCGAAACCACUCACACAUUACAAAGUGGUCGCAUCAGAGACCCCCAUUGCCGCCAUUACAUGUGAUGGAUUGAAACCAUGGUCUCACCACAUAUCCCAACCAGUUACUGCAAUUGUGUAGGUAGGCUACAAUAGGCUACAUUGACUUCCGCAUCUCUUAUGAACCAACAAUCAUGCACUGGUGAUGGAGAAAAACAAGGUCACCUGACUUGGCUACGCCGGCGCCAUCUUGCCAGCAAAAUGCAAUACAGUGAAAUGUAAUUUAUUGAUGAUUAAAACGAACAAAAAUCAUUAACAUUACCUAUCAUUGAGGUCAGUUCUGUAUGGCGCUCCGACAUUGCUUUAAAAAGCAUGGAAAACGUAAAGCUUUACGCGCUACUAAUUGUUUUUUCUCAAAUGCACCGACUUUGCUGGCUGAGAGAACACAUUUGAUGAGAAGCUGUCGCUCAUGUCAUGUACAUUUCAGGUCAUUUCGUUCUCGACAGUCUUCUUCCACUUUCCUGGCCAGUUUCCGCACCGUGCCUGCAGGAUCAUUUGGAACCAUUUUUGGGUAUUGCUGUUUGUCGCAUUUGCCAGCACCAUAUUUCCGCUGGGUGUGUCCCUCUGACUAUAUGCCCUUGUUCUGCCUUGAAUGUGAGAAGAGAACUGCAUACUGCGUGUUUCUUGUGCGCAGAGCAGUUUUCCACGUCGCUCGACCUUUCCCGCAACCAUCUCUCCCUCCCUUGCUCUGAAUAGAGCUCAAACUCAAACAUUUCCGCUUGAGACGAGGGGAAUAGGCAGGCUCGUUUGUAGGAAAAUAGCAACAUCAGUUAUAACCUAAAGCUUGGGGUAUCAGUGGACUCUUCCUCAUACCAACGUGGGAUCCAGA